rnacentral:tRNA from 1 species
CAUUAAGUGACUGAAAGUAAGUAAUGGUCUCUUAAACCAAAAUAUGGUGAAUAACAACUACCCUUAAUGA